rnacentral:rRNA from 1 species
UACGGAGGGUGCGAGCGUUAUCCGGAAUUACUGGGUUUAAAGGGUGCGUAGGCGGCUUUGUAAGUCAGGAGUGAAAGUUUGCAGCUCAACUGUAAAAUUGCUUCUGAUACUGCAGAGCUGGAAUCAGGAUGAGGUCAGCGGAAUGUGGCAUGUAGCGGUGAAAUGCAUAGAUAUGCCAUAGAACACCAAUUGCGAAGGCAGUUGGCUAGACCUGUAUCGACGCUGAGGCACGAAAGCGUGGGGAGCGAACAGG